UGAGAGCCUAUGGGAGCCGUGGGAAGUGUCACGUUACCGCAGAGAUCCUUUGUUUUGGAAAGAGAUGUCAAAGAAAGCCAAUAAAUAGUCAGACAGGCCACUUCCUGUAAAGGAAUCUCUCAGGUUUUUGCCUGCCAUAUGAGUUCUGUUAUACUCACAGACACCAUUCAAACAGUUUUAGAAACUUUAGUGUGUUUUCUAUCCAUAUCUAAUAAGUAUAUGCAUAUUCUAGUUACUGGGUAGGAGUAGUAACCAGAUUAAAUCGGGUACGUUUUUUAUCCGGCGGUGUAAAUACUGCCCCCUAGCCCUAAGAGGAUAACAUAAAUCUUCAGGGCGUUUUUCAACAAGAGAGCCAAUAAGAUUCGAGGGGGACGAUUGCAGUGUGUUUCAAAACGUUUCGAAAGGGGAGGGUAACCAGGGACGCCGGCAUUCCCCAUGCGGGGGGGCUGGCAGCACUAGCUCACUAUUUGGGAGACAGAGAUACUAAUGAAUAUCCACCAACAAACUUUAUUUUAGAGCUGGCAGAAUAUGUUUUGAAGUAUAACUAUUUUAGGUUUGAUGAUGAAUACUACCUCCAAACGAAUGGAACGUCGAUGGGCUCCACAUUCGAUCCGAGUUAUGCUAACCUUUAUGUGGGUCUAUUUGAAGAACGUUUUGUCAAUAACAAAAAACGAAAAUCCAUUUUUGAAUAAAAUCCUGAAGUGGUAUCGAUAUAUUGACAAAAAUUUUUGCAUAUGGGAAGGAACUGAACAAGAGCUGUCAGAUAGGGUAGGAAACAGACAGUGGGUUAGGGUAGGAAACAGACAGACAGUGAAUUAGGGUAUGAAACAGACAGACAUUUAGUUAGGGUAUGAAACAGACAGACAGUGAGUUAGGGUAGGAAACAGACAGACAGUGGGUUAGGGUAUGAUACAGACAGACAGUGAGUUAGGGUAUGAUACAGACAGACAGCGGGUUAGGGUAUGAAACAGACAGACAGUGGGUUAGGGUAUGAAACAGACAGACAGUGAGUUAGGGUAGGAAACAGACAGACAGUGGGUUAGGGUAUGAUACAGACAGACAGUGAGUUAGGGUAUGAAACAGACAGACAGUGAGUUAGGGUAGGACAGACAGUGGGUUACGGUAGGAAACAGACAGACAGUGGGUUAGGGUAGGAAACAGACAUUGGGUUAGGGUAGGAAACAGACAGACAGUGGGUUAGGGUAUGAAACAGACAGACAGUGAGUUAGGGUAGGAAACAGACAGUGGGUUAGGGUAGGAAACAGACAGACAGUGGGUUAGGGUAGGAAACAGACAGACAGUGUGUUAGGGUAGGAAACAGACAGUGUGUUAGGGUAGGAGACAGACAGACAGUGGGUUAGGGUAUGAAACAGACAGACAGUGGGUUAGGGUAAGAAAUAGACAGACAGUGGUUUAGGGUAUGAAACAGACAGACAGUGGGUUAGGGUAGGAAACAGACAGUGGGUUAGGGUAGGAAACAGACAGACAGUGGGUUAGGGUAGGAAACAGACAGUGGGUUAGGGUAUGAAACAGACAGACAGUGGGUUAGGGUAGGACACAGACAGUGAGUUAGGGUAUGAAAUAGACAGACAGUGGGUUAGGGUAGGAAAUAGACAGUGGGAUAGGGUAGGAAACAGACAGUGGGUUAGGGUAGGAAACAGACAGACAGUGGGUUAGGGUAUGAAACAGACAGACAGUGGGUUAGGGUAGGAAAUAGACAGUGGGUUAGGGUAGUACACAGACAGACUGAGGGUUAGGGUAGAAGGCAGACAGUGGGUCAGGGUAUGAAACAGACAGACAGUGGGUUAGGUAAGGAAACAGACAGACAGUGGUUUGGGUAUGAAACAGACAGACAGUGGGUUAGGGUAGGAAACAGACAGACAGUGGGUUAGGGUAUGAAACAGACAGACAGUGGGAUAGGGUAGGACGCAGACAGUGUGUUAGGGUAUGAAACAGACAGACAGUGGGUUAGGUAAGGAAACAGACAGACAGUGGUUUGGGUAUGAAACAGACAGACAGUGUGUUAGGGUAGGAAACAGACAGACAGUGGGUUAGGGUAGGAAACAGACAGUGGGUUAGGGUAUGAAACAGACAGACAGUGGGAUAGGGUAGGACGCAGACAGUGUGUUAGGGUAUGCAAUAGACAGACAGUGGGUUAGGGUAUGAAACAGACAGACAGUGGGUUAGGGUAGGAAAUAGACAGUGGGAUAGGGUAGGAAAGAGACAGUGGGUUAGGGUAGGAAACAGACAGACAGUGGGUUAGGGUAUGAAACAGACAGACAGUGGGUCAGGGUAGGAAAUAGACAGUGGGUUAGGGUAAGACACAGACAGACAGUGGGUCAGGGUAGGAAACAGACAGUGGGUUAGGGUAGGAAACAGACAGACAGUGGGUUAGGGUAGGAAACAGACAGUGUGUUAGGGUAUGAAACAGACAGACAGUGGGUUAGGGUAGGACACAGACAGUGGGUUAGGGUAGGAUAUAGACAGUGGGAUAGGGUAGGAAACAGACAGUGGGUUAGGGUAGGAAACAGACAGACAGUGGGUUAGGGUAUGAAACAGACAGACAGUGGGUUAGGGUAGGAAAUAGACAGUGGGUUAGGGUAGGACACAGACAGACUGUGGGUUAGGGUAGAAGACAGACAGUGGGUCAGGGUAUGAAACAGACAGACAGUGGGUUAGGUAAGGAAACAGACAGACAGUGGUUUGGGUAUGAAACAGACAGACAGUGGGUUAGGGUAGGAAACAGACAGACAGUGGGUUAGGGUAGGAAACAGACAGUGGGUUAGGGUAUGAAACAGACAGACAGUGGGAUAGGGUAGGACGCAGACAGUGUGUUAGGGUAUGAAACAGACAGACAGUGGGUUAGGGUAGGAAACAGACAGACAGUGGGUUAGGGUAGGAAAUAGACAGUGGGUUAGGGUAAGACACAGACAGACAGUGGGUUAGGGUAGGAAACAGACAGUGGGUUAGGGUAGGAAACAGACAGACAGUGGGUUAGGGUAGGAAACAGACAGUGGGUUAGGGUAUGAAACAGACAGACAGUGGGUUAGGGUAGGACACAGACAGUGAGUUAGGGUAUGAAAUAGACAGACAGUGGGUUAGGGUAUGAAACAGACAGACAGUGGGUUAGGGUAGGAAAUAGACAGUGGGAUAGGGUAGGAAACAGACAGUGGGUUAGGGUAGGAAACAGACAGACAGUGGGUUAGGGUAUGAAACAGACAGACAGUGUGUUAGGGUAGGAAAUAGACAGUGGGUUAGGGUAGGACACAGACAGACUGUGGGUUAGGGUAGAAGACAGACAGUGGGUCAGGGUAUGAAACAGACAGACAGUGGGUUAGGUAAGGAAACAGACAGACAGUGGUUUGGGUAUGAAACAGACAGACAGUGGGUUAGGGUAGGAAACAGACAGACAGUGGGUUAGGGUAGGAAACAGACAGUGGGUUAGGGUAUGAAACAGACAGACAGUGGGAUAGGGUAGGACGCAGACAGUGUGUUAGGGUAUGAAACAGACUGACAGUGGGUUAGGUAAGGAAACAGACAGACAGUGGUUUGGGUAUGAAACAGACAGACAGUGCGUUAGGGUAGGAAACAGACAGACAGUGGGUUAGGGUAGGAAACAGACAGUGGUUUAGGGUAUGAAACAGACAGACAGUGGGAUAGGGUAGGACGCAGACAGUGUGUUAGGGUAUGCAAUAGACAGACAGUGGGUUAGGGUAUGAAACAGACAGACAGUGGGUUAGGGUAGGAAAUAGACAGUGGGAUAGGGUAGGAAAGAGACAGUGGGUUAGGGUAGGAAACAGACAGACAGUGGGUUAGGGUAGGAAACAGACAGUGGGUUAGGGUAAGACACAGACAGACUGUGGGUUAGGGUAGGAAACAGACAGUGGGUCAGGUUAUGAAACAGACAGACAGUGAGUUAGGGUAGGACAAACAGUGGGUUAGGGUAGGAAACAGACAGACAGUGGGUUAGGGUAGGAAACAGACAGACAGUGUGUCAGGGUAGGAGACAGACAGUGGGUUAGGGUAUGAAACAGACAGACAGUGAAUUAGGGUAUGAAACAGACAGACAUUGAGUUAGGGUAUGAAACAGACAGACAGUGAGUUAGGGUAGGAAACAGACAGACAGUGUGUUAGGGUAUGAUACAGACAGACAGUGAGUUAGGGUAUGAUACAGACAGACAGCGGGUUAGGGUAUGAAACAGACAGACAGUGGGUUAGGGUAUGAAACAGACAGACAGUGAGUUAGGGUAGGAAACAGACAGACAGUGGGUUAGGGUAUGAUACAGACAGACAGUGAGUUAGGGUAUGAUACAGACAGACAGUGGGUUAGGGUAUGAAACAGACAGACAGUGAGUUAGGGUAGGACAGACAGUGGGUUAGGGUAGGAAACAGACAGACAGUGGGUUAGGGUAGGAAACAGACAGUGUGUUAGGGUAGGAAACAGACAGACAGUGGGUUAGGGUAUGAAACAGACAGACAGUGAGUUAGGGUAGGAAACAGACAGUGGGUUAGGGUAGGAAACAGACAGACAGUGGGUUAGGGUAGGAAACAGACAGACAGUGUGUUAGGGUAGGAAACAGACAGUGUGUUAGGGUAGGAGACAGACAGACAGUGGGUUAGGGUAUAAAACAGACAGACAGUGGGUUAGGGUAAGAAAUAGACAGACAGUGGUUUAGGGUAUGAAACAGACAGACAGUGGGUUAGGGUAGGAAACAGACAGUGGGUUAGGGUAGGAAACAGACAGACAGUGGGUUAGGGUAGGAAACAGACAGUGGGUUAGGGUAGGAAACAGACAGACAGUGGGUUAGGGUAGGACACAGACAGUGAGUUAGGGUAUGAAAUAGACAGACAGUGGGUUAGGGUAUGAAACAGACAGACAGUGGGUUAGGGUAGGAAAUAGACAGUGGGAUAGGGUAGGAAACAGACAGUGGGUUAGGGUAGGAAACAGACAGACAGUGGGUUAGGGUAUGAAACAGACAGACAGUGGGUUAGGGUAGUACACAGACAGACUGUGGGUUAGGGUAGAAGACAGACAGUGGGUCAGGGUAUGAAACAGACAGACAGUGGGUUAGGUAAGGAAACAGACAGACAGUGGUUUGGGUAUGAAACAGACAGACAGUGGGUUAGGGUAGGAAACAGACAGACAGUGGGUUAGGGUAGGAAACAGACAGUGGGUUAGGGUAUGAAACAGACAGACAGUGGGAUAGGGUAGGACGCAGACAGUGUGUUAGGGUAUGAAACAGACAGACAGUGGAUUAGGUAAGGAAACAGACAGACAGUGGUUUGGGUAUGAAACAGACAGACAGUGCGUUAGGGUAGGAAACAGACAGACAGUGGGUUAGGGUAGGAAACAGACAGUGGGUUAGGGUAUGAAACAGACAGACAGUGGGAUAGGGUAGGACGCAGACAGUGUGUUAGGGUAUGCAAUAGACAGACAGUGGGUUAGGGUAUGAAACAGACAGACAGUGGGUUAGGGUAGGAAACAGACAGUGGGAUAGGGUAGGAAAGAGACAGUGGGUUAGGGUAGGAAACAGACAGACAGUGGGUUAGGGUAUGAAACAGACAGACAGUGGGUUAGGGUAGGAAAUAGACAGUGGGUUAGGGUAAGACACAGACAGACAGUGGGUUAGGGUAGGAAACAGACAGUGGGUUAGGGUAGGAAACAGACAGACAGUGGGUUAGGGUAGGAAACAGACAGUGGGUUAGGGUAUGAAACAGACAGACAGUGGGUUAGGGUAGGAAAUAGACAGUGGGAUAGGGUAGGAAACAGACAGUGGGUUAGGGUAGGAAACAGACAGACAGUGGGUUAGGGUAUGAAACAGACAGACAGUGGGUUAGGGUAGGAAAUAGACAGUGGGUUAGGGUAGGACACAGACAGACUGUGGGUUAGGGUAGAAGACAGACAGUGGGUCAGGGUAUGAAACAGACAGACAGUGGGUUAGGUAAGGAAACAGACAGACAGUGGUUUGGGUAUGAAACAGACAGACAGUGGGUUAGGGUAGGAAACAGACAGACAGUGGGUUAGGGUAGGAAACAGACAGUGGGUUAGGGUAUGAAACAGACAGACAGUGGGAUAGGGUAGGACACAGACAGUGUGUUAGGGUAUGCAAUAGACAGACAGUGGGUUAGGGUAUGAAACAGACAGACAGUGGGUUAGGGUAGGAAAUAGACAGUGGGAUAGGGUAGGAAAGAGACAGUGGGUUAGGGUAGGAAACAGACAGACAGUGGGUUAGGGUAUGAAACAGACAGACAGUGGGUUAGGGUAGGAAAUAGACAGUGGGUUAGGGUAAGACACAGACAGACAGUGGGUUAGGGUAGGAACAGACAGACAGUGGGUUAGGGUAGGAAACAGACAGUGUGUUAGGGUAGGAAACAGACAGACAGUGGGUUAGGGUAUGAAACAGACAGACAGUGAGUUAGGGUAGGAAACAGACAGUGGGUUAGGGUAGGAAACAGACAGACAGUGGGUUAGGGUAGGAAACAGACAGACAGUGUGUUAGGGUAGGAAACAGACAGUGGGUUAGGGUAGGAAACAGACAGACAGUGGGUUAGGGUAUGAAACAGACAGACAGUGGGUUAGGGUAAGAAAUAGACAGACAGUGGGUUAGGGUAUGAAACAGACAGACAGUGGGUUAGGGUAGGAAACAGACAGUGGGUUAGGGUAGGAAACAGACAGACAGUGGGUUAGGGUAGGAAACAGACAGUGGGUUAGGGUAGGAAACAGACAGACAGUGGGUUAGGGUAGGACACAGACAGUGAGUUAGGGUAUGAAAUAGACAGACAGUGGGUUAGGGUAUGAAACAGACAGACAGUGGGUUAGGGUAGGAAAUAGACAGUGGGAUAGGGUAGGAAACAGACAGUGGGUUAGGGUAGGAAACAGACAGACAGUGGGUUAGGGUAUGAAACAGACAGACAGUGGGUUAGGGUAAGACACAGACAGACUGUGGGUUAGGGUAGGAAACAGACAGUGGGUCAGGGUAUGAAACAGACAGACAGUGGGUUAGGUAAGGAAACAGACAGACAGUGGUUUGGGUAUGAAACAGACAGACAGUGGGUUAGGGUAGGAAACAGACAGACAGUGGGUUAGGGUAGGAAACAGACAGUGGGUUAGGGUAUGAAACAGACAGACAGUGGGAUAGGGUAGGACGCAGACAGUGUGUUAGGGUAUGAAACAGACAGACAGUGGAUUAGGUAAGGAAACAGACAGACAGUGGUUUGGGUAUGAAACAGACAGACAGUGCGUUAGGGUAGGAAACAGACAGACAGUGGGUUAGGGUAGGAAACAGACAGUGGGUUAGGGUAUGAAACAGACAGACAGUGGGAUAGGGUAGGACGCAGACAGUGUGUUAGGGUAUGCAAUAGACAGACAGUGGGUUAGGGUAUGAAACAGACAGACAGUGGGUUAGGGUAGGAAAUAGACAGUGGGAUAGGGUAGGAAAGAGACAGUGGGUUAGGGUAGGAAACAGACAGACAGUGGGUUAGGGUAUGAAACAGACAGACAGUGGGUUAGGGUAGGAAACAGACAGUGGGUUAGGGUAAGACACAGACAGACAGUGGGUUAGGGUAGGAAACAGACAGUGGGUUAGGGUAGGAAACAGACAGACAGUGGGUUAGGGUAGGAAACAGACAGUGGGUUAGGGUAUGAAACAGACAGACAGUGGGUUAGGGUAGGAAACAGACAGUGGGAUAGGGUAGGAAACAGACAGUGGGUUAGGGUAGGAAACAGACAGACAGUGGGUUAGGGUAUGAAACAGACAGACAGUGGGUUAGGGUAGGAAAUAGACAGUGGGUUAGGGUAGGACACAGACAGACUGUGGGUUAGGGUAGAAGACAGACAGUGGGUCAGGGUAUGAAACAGACAGACAGUGGGUUAGGUAAGGAAACAGACAGACAGUGGUUUGGGUAUGAAACAGACAGACAGUGGGUUAGGGUAGGAAACAGACAGACAGUGGGUUAGGGUAGGAAACAGACAGUGGGUUAGGGUAUGAAACAGACAGACAGUGGGAUAGGGUAGGACACAGACAGUGUGUUAGGGUAUGCAAUAGACAGACAGUGGGUUAGGGUAUGAAACAGACAGACAGUGGGUUAGGGUAGGAAAUAGACAGUGGGAUAGGUAGGAAAGAGACAGUGUGUUAGGGUAGGAAACAGACAGACAGUGGGUUAGGGUAUGAAACAGACAGACAGUGGGUUAGGGUAGGAAAUAGACAGUGGGUUAGGGUAAGACACAGACAGACAGUGGGUUAGGGUAGGAAACAGACAGUGGGUUAGGGUAGGAAACAGACAGACAGUGGGUUAGGGUAGGAAACAGACACUGGGUUAGGGUAUGAAACAGACAGACAGUGGGUUAGGGUAGGACACAGACAGUGAGUUAGGGUAUGAAAUAGACAGACAGUGGGUUAGGGUAUGAAACAGACAGACAGUGGGUUAGGGUAGGAAAUAGACAGUGGGAUAGGGUAGGAAACAGACAGUGGGUUAGGGUAGGAAACAGACAGACAGUGGGUUAGGGUAUGAAACAGACAGACAGUGGGUUAGGGUAGGAAAUAGACAGUGGGUUAGGGUAGGACACAGACAGACUGUGGGUUAGGGUAGAAGACAGACAGUGGGUCAGGGUAUGAAACAGACAGACAGUGGGUUAGGUAAGGAAACAGACAGACAGUGGUUUGGGUAUGAAACAGACAGACAGUGGGUUAGGGUAGGAAACAGACAGACAGUGGGUUAGGGUAGGAAACAGACAGUGGGUUAGGGUAUGAAACAGACAGACAGUGGGAUAGGGUAGGACGCAGACAGUGUGUUAGGGUAUGAAACAGACUGACAGUGGGUUAGGUAAGGAAACAGACAGACAGUGGUUUGGGUAUGAAACUGACAGACAGUGUGUUAGGGUAGGAAACAGACAGACAGUGGGUUAGGGUAGGAAACAGACAGUGGGUUAGGGUAUGAAACAGACAGACAGUGGGAUAGGGUAGGACGCAGACAGUGUGUUAGGGUAUGCAAUAGACAGACAGUGGGUUAGGGUAUGAAACAGACAGACAGUGGGUUAGGGUAGGAAAUAGACAGUGGGAUAGGGUAGGAAAGAGACAGUGGGUUAGGGUAGGAAACAGACAGACAGUGGGUUAGGGUAUGAAACAGACAGACAGUGGGUUAGGGUAGGAAAUAGACAGUGGGUUAGGGUAAGACACAGACAGACAGUGGGUUAGGGUAGGAAACAGACAGUGGGUUAGGGUAUGAAACAGACAGACAGUGGGAUAGGGUAGGACGCAGACAGUGUGUUAGGGUAUGAAACAGACUGACAGUGGGUUAGGUAAGGAAACAGACAGACAGUGGUUUGGGUAUGAAACAGACAGACAGUGCGUUAGGGUAGGAAACAGACAGACAGUGGGUUAGGGUAGGAAACAGACAGUGGUUUAGGGUAUGAAACAGACAGACAGUGGGAUAGGGUAGGACGCAGACAGUGUGUUAGGGUAUGCAAUAGACAGACAGUGGGUUAGGGUAUGAAACAGACAGACAGUGGGUUAGGGUAGGAAAUAGACAGUGGGAUAGGGUAGGAAAGAGACAGUGGGUUAGGGUAGGAAACAGACAGACAGUGGGUUAGGGUAGGAAAUAGACAGUGGGUUAGGGUAAGACACAGACAGACUGUGGGUUAGGGUAGGAAACAGACAGUGGGUCAGGGUAUGAAACAGACAGACAGUGAGUUAGGGUAGGACAAACAGUGGGUUAGGGUAGGAAACAGACAGACAGUGGGUUAGGGUAGGAAACAGACAGACAGUGGGUCAGGGUAGGAAACAGACAGUGGGUUAGGGUAUGAAACAGACAGACAGUGAAUUAGGGUAUGAAACAGACAGACAUUUAGUUAGGGUAUGAAACAGACAGACAGUGAGUUAGGGUAGGAAACAGACAGACAGUGGGUUAGGGUAUGAUACAGACAGACAGCGGGUUAGGGUAUGAAACAGACAGACAGUGGGUUAGGGUAUGAAACAGACAGACAGUGAGUUAGGGUAGGAAACAGACAGACAGUGGGUUAGGGUAUGAUACAGACAGACAGUGAGUUAGGGUAUGAUACAGACAGACAGUGGGUUAGGGUAUGAAACAGACAGACAGUGAGUUAGGGUAGGACAGACAGUGGGUUAGGGUAGGAAACAGACAGACAGUGGGUUAGGGUAGGAAACAGACAGUGUGUUAGGGUAGGAAACAGACAGACAGUGGGUUAGGGUAUGAAACAGACAGACAGUGAGUUAGGGUAGGAAACAGACAGUGGGUUAGGGUAGGAAACAGACAGACAGUGGGUUAGGGUAGGAAACAGACAGACAGUGUGUUAGGGUAGGAAACAGACAGUGUGUUAGGGUAGGAGACAGACAGACAGUGGGUUAGGGUAUAAAACAGACAGACAGUGGGUUAGGGUAAGAAAUAGACAGACAGUGGUUUAGGGUAUGAAAUAGACAGACAGUGGGUUAGGGUAGGAAACAGACAGUGGGUUAGGGUAGGAAACAGACAGACAGUGGGUUAGGGUAGGAAACAGACAGUGGGUUAGGGUAUGAAACAGACAGACAGUGGGUUAGGGUAGGACACAGACAGUGAGUUAGGGUAUGAAAUAGACAGACAGUGGGUUAGGGUAUGAAACAGACAGACAGUGGGUUAGGGUAGGAAAUAGACAGUGGGAUAGGGUAGGAAACAGACAGUGGGUUAGGGUAGGAAACAGACAGACAGUGGGUUAGGGUAUGAAACAGACAGACAGUGGGUUAGGGUAGGAAAUAGACAGUGGGUUAGGGUAGGACACAGACAGACUGUGGGUUAGGGUAGAAGACAGACAGUGGGUCAGGGUAUGAAACAGACAGACAUUGGGUUAGGUAAGGAAACAGACAGACAGUGGUUUGGGUAUGAAACAGACAGACAGUGUGUUAGGGUAGGAAACAGACAGACAGUGGGUUAGGGUAGGAAACAGACAGUGGGUUAGGGUAUGAAACAGACAGACAGUGGGAUAGGGUAGGACGCAGACAGUGUGUUAGGGUAUGCAAUAGACAGACAGUGGGUUAGGGUAUGAAACAGACAGACAGUGGGUUAGGGUAGGAAAUAGACAGUGGGAUAGGGUAGGAAAGAGACAGUGGGUUAGGGUAGGAAACAGACAGACAGUGGGUUAGGGUAUGAAACAGACAGACAGUGGGUUAGGGUAGGAAAUAGACAGUGGGUUAGGGUAAGACACAGACAGACAGUGGGUUAGGGUAGGAAACAGACAGUGUGUUAGGGUAGGAAACAGACAGACAGUGGGUUAGGGUAGGAAACAGACAGUGGGUUAGGGUAUGAAACAGACAGACAGUGGGUUAGGGUAGGAAAUAGACAGUGGGAUAGGGUAGGAAACAGACAGUGGGUUAGGGUAGGAAACAGACAGACAGUGGGUUAGGGUAUGAAACAGACAGACAGUGGGUUAGGGUAGGAAAUAGACAGUGGGUUAGGGUAGGACACAGACAGACUGUGGGUUAGGGUAGAAGACAGACAGUGGGUCAGGGUAUGAAACAGACAGACAGUGGGUUAGGUAAGGAAACAGACAGACAGUGGUUUGGGUAUGAAACAGACAGACAGUGGGUUAGGGUAGGAAACAGACAGACAGUGGGUUAGGGUAGGAAACAGACAGUGGGUUAGGGUAUGAAACAGACAGACAGUGGGAUAGGGUAGGACGCAGACAGUGUGUUAGGGUAUGCAAUAGACAGACAGUGGGUUAGGGUAUGAAACAGACAGACAGUGGGUUAGGGUAGGAAAUAGACAGUGGGAUAGGGUAGGAAAGAGACAGUGUGUUAGGGUAGGAAACAGACAGACAGUGGGUUAGGGUAUGAAACAGACAGACAGUGGGUUAGGGUAGGAAAUAGACAGUGGGUUAGGGUAAGACACAGACAGACAGUGGGUUAGGGUAGGAAACAGACAGUGGGUUAGGGUAGGAAACAGACAGACAGUGGGUUAGGGUAGGAAACAGACAGUGGGUUAGGGUAUGAAACAGACAGACAGUGGGUUAGGGUAGGACACAGACAGUGGGUUAGGGUAUGAAACAGACAGACAGUGGGUUAGGGUAGGAAACAGACAGACAGUGGGUUAGGGUAGGAAACAGACAGACAGUGGGUUAGGGUAGGAAACAGACAGUGGGUUAGGGUAGGAAACAGACAGACAGUGGGUUAGGGUAGGAAACAGACAGACAGUGGGUUAGGGUAGGAAACAGACAGACAGUGGGUUAGGGUAGAAGACAGACAGUGGGUUAGGGUAUGAAACAGACAGACAGUGGGUUAGGGUAUGAAACAGACAGACAGUGGGUUAGGGUAUGAAACAGACAGACAGUGGGUUAGGGUAGGAAACAGACAGACAGUGGGUUAGGGUAGGAAACAGACAGACAGUGGGUUAGGGUAUGAAACAGACAGACAGUGGGUUAGGGUAGGAAACAGACAGUGGGUUAGGGUAGGAAACAGACAGUGGGUUAGGGUAGGAAACAGACAGACAGUGGGUUAGGGUAUGAAACAGACAGACAGUGGGUUAGGGUAGGAAACAGACAGUGGGUUAGGGUAGGAAACAGACAGACAGUGGGUUAGGGUAGGAAACAGACAGACAGUGGGUUAGGGUAGGAAACAGACAGACAGUGGGUUAGGGUAGGAAACAGACAGACAGUGGGUUAGGGUAGGAAACAGACAGUGGGUUAGGGUAUGAAACAGACAGACAGUGGGUUAGGGUAGGAAACAGACAGACAGUGGGUUAGGGUAUGAAACAGACAGACAGUGGGUUAGGGUAGGAAACAGACAGACAGUGGGUUAGGGUAUGAAACAGACAGACAGUGGGUUAGGGUAUGAAACAGACAGACAGUGGGUUAGGGUAUGAAACAGACAGACAGUGGGUUAGGGUAUGAAACAGACAGACAGUGGGUUAGGGUAGGAAACAGACAGACAGUGGGUUAGGGUAUGAAACAGACAGACAGUGGGUUAGGGUAUGAAACAGACAGACAGUGGGUUAGGGUAGGAAACAGACAGUGGGUUAGGGUAGGAAACAGACAGACAGUGGGUUAGGGUAUGAAACAGACAGACAGUGGGUUAGGGUAUGAAACAGACAGACAGUGGGUUAGGGUAGGAAACAGACAGUGGGUUAGGGUAGGAAACAGACAGACAGUGGGUUAGGGUAGGAAACAGACAGACAGUGGGUUAGGGUAGGAAACAGACAGUGGGUUAGGGUAGGAAACAGACAGACAGUGGGUUAGGGUAGGAAACAGACAGACAGUGGGUUAGGGUAGGAAAUAGACAGACAGUGGGUUAGGGUAGGAAGACAGACAGUGGGUUAGGGUAGGAAACAGACAGACAGUGGGUUAGGGAAACAGACAGACAGUGGGUUAGGGUAUGAAACAGACAGACAGUGGGUUAGGGUAGGAAAUAACAUAGACAGACAGUGGGUUAGGGUAGGAAACAGACAGUGGGUUAGGGUAUGAAACAGACAGACAGUGGGUUAGGGUAUGAAACAGACAGACAGUGGGUUAGGGUAGGAAACAGACAGACAGUGGGUUAGGGUAGGACACAGACAGACAGUGGGUUAGGGUAGAAGACAGACAGUGGGUUAGGGUAUGAAACAGACAGACAGUGGGUUAGG
rnacentral:lncRNA from 1 species